rnacentral:rRNA from 1 species
ACAUCCAGAGAACUUAGCAGAGAUGCUUUGGUGCCUUCGGGAACUCUGAGACAGGUGCUGCAUGGCUGUCGUCAGCUCGUGUUGUGAAAUGUUGGGUUAAGUCCCGCAACGAGCGCAACCCUUAUCCUUGUUUGCCAGCGAGUAAUGUCGGGAACUCCAGGGAGACUGCCGGUGAUAAACCGGAGGAAGGUGGGGACGACGUCAAGUCAUCAUGGCCCUUACGAGUAGGGCUACACACGUGCUACAAUGGCGCAUACAGAGGGCAGCCAACUUGCGAAAGUGAGCGAAUCCCAAAAAGUGCGUCGUAGUCCGGAUUGGAGUCUGCAACUCGACUCCAUGAAGUCGGAAUCGCUAGUAAUCGUGGAUCAGAAUGCCACGGUGAAUACGUUCCCGGGCCUUGUACACACCGCCCGUCACACCAUGGGAGUGGGCUGCAAAAGAAGCAGGUAGUUUAACCUUCGGGAGGACGCUUGCCACUUUGUGGUUCAUGACUGGGGUGAAGUCGUAACAAGGUAGCGCUAGGGGAACCUGGCGCUGGAUCACCUCCUUA